rnacentral:lncRNA from 1 species
UUUUGUAAUAAAAGUCUAAUUGAAUUUACAAACUCCGGUAUCUGAGAAGUAUUUCAUUAAACAUUUUCCACAACACUAGCAGGCAGCUCACUCUGUCUCUUCUGUGCCAAGGCUAAUUAUUUGCUGCAGUUUAUCCUCCGAUCACCAGAGUAACUUAACAACACCAAAAAUAACAUUCCAAUGUCAUCCAACUCAGGUGUAGGCCUAUCUUAUUAAAAUAACAGUGCUACGGGCUCCGUUAUAGCAACUCCAUCAGGUCCGAAUGAGUAAAAAGGACCUCAGCGACUGCCCGCCCUCCCAGACCUCUGCAGAGGAGGAGGAGAAAAGAGGGGGAAAAUUAUGGGGAGCCCAAGGUUUAUCAGGUGUGGAGAUCGGGCUACAGGCUACCACUUCAAUGCCAUGACGUGAACGCUGCAAGGGCUUCUUCAGGACCUGAGCCCAAGGACCAUGCCUCAGGACUACCUGGCUUGAUGACUCCUUGCUGUCCCCAGUCCACCUGGCCGUGCUGCUGCUCCAGUUCCAACUGUUCUGCCUGCGGCUAUGGAACCCUGACCUGUUCACCGGACGUGCUACCUGUCCCAGACCUGCUGUCCCAGACCUGCUGGAAACCUGACCUGUUCACCGGAUGUGCUACCUGUCCCAGACCUGCUGUUUUCAACUCUCUAGAGACAGCAGGAGCGGUAGAGAUACUCUCAAAGAUCGGCUAUGAAAAAGCCAACUGACACUUACUCUUGUGUUACUG